rnacentral:rRNA from 1 species
GACGAACGCUGGCGGCGUGCCUAAUACAUGCAAGUUGAGCGCUGAAGGUUGGUACUUGUACCCACUGGAUGAGCAGCGAACGGGUGAGUAACGCGUGGGGAAUCUGCCUUUGAGCGGGGGACAACAUUUGGAAACGAAUGCUAAUACCGCAUAAAAACUUUAAACACAAGUUUUAAGUUUGAAAGAUGCAAUUGCAUCACUCAAAGAUGAUCCCGCGUUGUAUUAGCUAGUUGGUGAGGUAAAGGCUCACCAAGGCGAUGAUACAUAGCCGACCUGAGAGGGUGAUCGGCCACAUUGGGACUGAGACACGGCCCAAACUCCUACGGGAGGCAGCAGUAGGGAAUCUUCGGCAAUGGACGAAAGUCUGACCGAGCAACGCCGCGUGAGUGAGGAAGGUUUUCGGAUCGUAAAACUCGGUUGGUAGAGAAGAACGUUGGUGAGAGUGGAAAGCUCAUCAAGUGACGGUAACUACCCAGAAAGGGACGGCUAACUACGUG